rnacentral:rRNA from 1 species
AGUGAACGCUGGCGGUAGGCCUAACACAUGCAAGUCGAACGGCAGCACAGUAAGAGCUUGCUCUUACGGGUGGCGAGUGGCGGACGGGUGAGGAAUACAUCGGAAUCUACUUUUUCGUGGGGGAUAACGUAGGGAAACUUACGCUAAUACCUCAUACGACCUACGGGUGAAAGCAGGGGAUCUUCGGACCUUGCGCGAUUGAAUGAGCCGAUGUCGGAUUAGCUAGUUGGCGGGGUAAAGGCCCACCAAGGCGACGAACCGUAGCUGGUCUGAGAGGAUGAUCAGCCACACUGGAACUGAGACACGGCCCAGACUCCUACGGGAGGAAGCAGUGGGGAAUAUUGGACAAUGGGCGCAAGCCUGAUCCAGCCAUACCGCGUGGGUGAAGAAGGCCUUCGGGUUUUAAAGCCCUUUUGUUGGGAAAGAAAAGCAGCAGGUUAAUACCCCGCUGUUCUGACGGUACCCAAAGAAUAAGCACCGGCUAACUUCGUG